UGUGUAGGCGGUUCUCUAAGUCUGGUGUGAAAUCUCCCGGCUCAACUGGGAGGGUGCGCCGAAAACUGGAGGGCUAGAGUGCGGGAUGGGAAAGUGGAAUUCCUGGUGUAGCGGUGAAAUGCGUAGAUAUCAGGAGGAACACCUGUGGUGUAGACGGCUUUCUGGACCGCAACUGACGCUGAGACACGAAAGCGUGGGUAGCAAACAGGAUUAGAUACCCUGGUAGUCCACGCCCUAAACGAUGCAUACUUGGUGUGGGUCAUUCAUUUGAUCCGUGCCGGAGCUAACGCGUUAAAUAUGCCGCCUGGGGAGUACGGUCGCAAGGCUGAA
rnacentral:rRNA from 1 species